rnacentral:rRNA from 1 species
UUAUAAGAGACAGCAGUAGCCGCGGUAAUACGAAGGGGGCUAGCGUUGCUCGGAAUGACUGGGCGUAAAGGGCGCGUAGGCGGCGAUCAAAGUCAGGCGUGAAAUUCCUGGGCUCAACCUGGGGGCUGCGCUUGAUACUUGGUUGCUUGAGUGGGGAAGAGGGUCGUGGAAUUCCCAGUGUAGAGGUGAAAUUCGUAGAUAUUGGGAAGAACACCGGUGGCGAAGGCGGCGACCUGGUCCUUGACUGACGCUGAGGCGCGAAAGCGUGGGGAGCAAACAGGAUUAGAUACCCGUGUAGUCCCUGUCUCUUAUAC